ACUCUACGUGUUCAGCGCCCUCCAGCUCCCCGCUGUUCGGCAAGAGUUAAAUGACAUCAUGUGGAACGAGCCAACAUGCCACUGGCUAAAGGAUCAAUGAAUCAUGCUGUGGACGUGGCCAACAGUGAGGCCUUCCCUGGAAAAGCUUUCUCGUCCAAGGGGCCUGGCCAAUCUCACCAUGCAUCCCAGGGAGCUAUGAGAUGAGACUCAAGUCAAAGUGAAGAGAAGAAGUAACCACUUUGGAUAAAACCAAAAGAACCAAUGUGGUAGCCCAAUUGACCACUGGUGACAUGGAGAGCCUUAAGGGGACUUGUCAUCUCAACCCCUGUGGAGCAGUUUCGUGACACGACGCGGUGGCAGCCCAUAAGGAAACGUGUUUAUCUUGAAAGCACCCGGCAGAGACGGCAAGGAAGGGGCUGAGCUGGUGGGAAGACCCCAUUUCUCAAACCCAGCUUUCUGUGCGGAAUUAUUCAAAGGGAAACCUUAUCAAG